rnacentral:rRNA from 1 species
AGUGAACGCUGGCGGCAGGCCUAACACAUGCAAGUCGUACGGCAGCACAGUAAGAGCUUGCUAUUACUGGUGGCGAGUGGCGGACGGGUGAGGAAUACAUCGGAAUCUACUUUUUCGUGGGGGAUAACGUAGGGAAACUUACGCUAAUACCCCAUACGACCUACGGGUGAAAGCAGAGGAUCUUCGGGCUUUGCGCGAUUGAGUGAGCCGAUGUCGGAUUAGCUAGUUGGCGGGGUAAAUGCCCACCAAGGCGACGAUCCGUAGCUGGUCUGAGAGGAUGAUGCGCAACACUGUAACUGAGACACGGCACUGACACCUACGGGAGGCAGCAGUGGGGAAUAGUGGACAAUGGGCGCAAGUCUGCUCCAGCCAUACCGCGCGGGUGAAGAAGGCCUUCGGGCUGUAAAGCCCUUUUGGGGGGAAAGAAACGCAGCAGGAUAAUACCCCGCUGUUCUGACGGUACCCAAAGAAGAAGCACCGGCUAACUUCGUG